GACCGCGUAGCUCAGUUGGCAAAGCUUUGGGCUAGUAUUCCAAAGGUCGUAGGUUCGAUUCCCACCGUGGCCA
rnacentral:tRNA from 1 species